rnacentral:lncRNA from 1 species
AGGACUAUUUUUAUGGUUGCACUUCAGGGCUCCAGCUUGCACUCCCAGUUGAAUCUAUAUGCAUCAUUAUGAAGCGCAACAUCUCCUGGCCAGCAUCGAGAUAUAGUCGAAUGCUCGAUGAAUGCUGGAAUGUUGAAAUGGUGCAACAGUCGGAGAACUUUGUUCUCUGAUUUCUACCCGCAAUAGCAUGCAGAGAAUGUGUUCUACACUAAGUGAGAGAAUAUGCUUUCCAUAAAAUUUCAAGCAGAUAGUAGGUCCUCCCAUUACUCUCACAUACAUUUGAACUCUGCACAGCAGACGUAGUAGAGCAAAUAGAACAACGGAGUGCAUCUCAGAAACCCUAAUUUCAUUUCUUGCAGAAAUUCGGCCUCCAGGUCGUCAACAUCAAGUGAACACCACCACACUGGUAUCAGAAACAAUUUAUAGCUGUACGCUACAAUAAUCUGUCUCGCACUGUGGCUUUUUUGAAGAAUCAAUCGCCCUCACUAUAUAACUGCAGACUUCUUUCUUUUUUUAGUUUUUUAGUGUUUCUUUUCUUUUCUUCUUCUUCUUUCCUCGUUUCAGAGAAUCUCCAUCACGUUGCAUCUACUGGCAGCCUGAUAUCCUGUCACAUUUGCAGCAAUAUUGUCACCUCUAAGAGCAAGCGAUUGACAGUCCGCCACUUGAUGGACCACUUCUGACCAUGAAACUAAUCACUCUAGUCCACAUACUUGUGGCCUUGACCCUUAGGUGGAACCCAGAGCUAUUACUCAAGAUGCUGGGUCGGAGGACGGAAGUGAGAAGCCUUUACCUACAAACUCCAUCGCCCUCUGACUCUCUCCCCUUUCGUUGCUUCUGACGUCGUCCAAUAUUGCUCCCUCUAUAUACUAAUCAAACCACUCGGCUUGUAUGAGUCGAUGCUGCAUUCUUUCACAACUGGGUGCCUCUAGAUCUUGUUUCUGAAGUUUGUAGGUGCAAAUCAACAUACUUCAAAAAACUCGCAUUCUUAUCUUCAUUAGUGAGGGACUGUAAGUAAUGCAGCAGAACGAUCAGUCGGGAGUGCCUAGUUUUUACAUUAGUGAGCACAAUUUUGAGGUGAAAUUUUGCGGUGAAUGUUAACCGCUGAAGAAACUUGAAGAGAGUUGUCAGUUUCCCUGCGUCAUGAGUUUUACUUCGACACCACGUUCUGGAUAUCAUCAGACAGGCUGGAUCUAUCUAGUCCACCACAUCCCACAUAACUUGGACAAGCUCAAGCGCUGCCAAUCUGUCCUUGCAACUGGAACGAAUUCUCCACUCAAGCAAUGCUCUCAAGUCCAAGUGUAGACAAGAAGCAAAAGCACCCCCAAAGGCAAAAGCGAAAGCAAGCAACAGGUGGAGCAUAGAAAAAGCCCUUCUGCUGCGGCACAGGUUUCCCGCACAGUUGACAAAAGCCACAAGAAUCCUGUCCUGCAGCAACACCAGGAUUGGGAUCUCUAACUCUCUCUCUCUCUCUCUCUCUCUCUUUUGCUUCUCCUUC